rnacentral:rRNA from 1 species
CGCCUCUUGAAUUUCUAUAAGAGGUCCAGCCUGCCCAGUGACCAUGUUCAACGGCCGCGGUAUCCUAACCGUGCGAAGGUAGCGUAAUCACUUGUUCUUUAAAUGUGGACUAGUAUGAACGGCACCACGAGGGUUAUGCUGUCUCCUUUUUCUAAUCAGUGAAACUAAUCUCCCCGUGAAGAAGCGGGAAUAAGACUAUAAGACGAGAAGACCCUAUGGAGCUUUAAACAACAUAGCACUUGCCACACAAUAUGAAAAUUUCCGAAAAUUUUAAUUAAUUUGACAACUUGACUAUAAGUUUUUGGUUGGGGUGACCACGGAGCAUAAAAUAACCUCCACGAUGAAUAGAAUUAUUUCUAAACUAAGACCUUCAGGUCUAAGUAUCAAUAUAUUGACAUCCAUUGAUCCAAUAUAUUUGAACAACGAACCAAGUUACCCUAGGGAUAACAGCGCAAUCCACUUCAAGAGCUCCUAUCGACAAGUGGGUUUACGACCUCGAUGUUGGAUCAGGGUGUCCCAGUGGUGCAGCCGCUACUAAAGGUUCGUUUGUUCAACGAUUAAAACCCU